rnacentral:tRNA from 2 species
GCCCACAUAGCUCAGUCGGUAGAGCACUUCCUUGGUAAGGAAGAGGUCAUCGGUUCGAUUCCGAUUGUGGGCACCA